GAUGAACGCUAGCGAUAGGCUUAACACAUGCAAGUCGAGGGGCAGCACAAGGUAGCGUGCUAUCUGGGUGGCGACCGGCACACGGGUGCGUAACGCGUAUGCAACUUGCGCUAUACAGGGGGAUAACCCGUCGAAAGACGAACGAAUACUGCGUAUGCACACAACUUUGGAUCAAGUGGUGAGGAAAGAAAUUCGGUAUAGGAUAGGCAUGCGUCCCAUUGGCUUGUUGGUGAGGUAACGGCUCACCAAGGCAACGAUGGGUAGGGGAACUGAGAGGUUUAUCCCCCACACUGGUACCGAGAACCCGAGCCGGAUCCUUCGGGAGGCAGCCGUUAGGAAUAUUGGGCAAUGGGCGCGAGCCUGAACCAGCCAAUUCGCGUGAAAGAUGACUGUCUUAUGGAUUGUAAACUUCUUUUAGACGGGAAUCACAAGAGUCACGUGUGACUCCCUGCAUGUACCGUAUGAAUAAGCACCGGCUAACUCCGUG
rnacentral:rRNA from 1 species